UUAAUACCCAACUUUACGGAAGGGUAGUAUUUAUUAGAUAUUAAACCAAUCCUUCGGGUUGUGAUGAUUCAUAAUAACUGAUCGAAGCGAGGAUUUCCUUGCUAAAUCAUUCAAGUUUCUGCCCUAUCAGCUUUAGAUGGUAGUGUAUUGGACUACCAUGGCUAUCACGGGUAACGGAGAAUUAGGGUUCGAUUCCGGAGAGGGAGCCUGAGAAAUGGCUACCACAUCUAAGGAUGGCAGCAGGCGCGAAAAUUGCCCAAUCCCGAUUCGGGGAGGCAGUGACAAGAAAUAACAACCCAGGGGUUUCCCCAGGGAUUGUAAUGAGAAAAAUCUAAAAAACUUAUCGAGCAUCAACUGGAGGGCAAGCUAUGGUGCCAGCAGCCGCGGUAAUUCCAUCUCCAGUAGCGUAUAUUAAAGUUGCUGCAGUUAAAAAGCUCGUAGUUGAAGUUCUGUCCGGUUGAGCGAUUUCCAAAAGGUUUUCGCCUCACCGGGCAUCAGUCUGCAAUCAUUUCCACGACAUUCAUUUGCCGGGAUUGGGAGCAGGCGUUUUACCUUGAGAAAAUUAGAGUGUUCCAGGCAGGCUUCAGCCCGAAUACAUUAGCAUGGAAUAAUAGAAUAGGACUAGAGACUAUUUAUUGGUUUAAGGCUUUAGUAAUGAUUAAUAGGAACAGUCGGGGGCAUUAGUACUUGACAGUCAGAGGUGAA
rnacentral:rRNA from 1 species